UUGCAGUCUCUUUAACUUGAACUAUAUUUGUUCAAAAGGCUUCUGGAACAUUCUCUUGCUGACUGAUACGCAAGUGCAUCGUCACUUUAAUGGGCGGGACUUAGAGAAGGAAGAGAAGCAGGUGUGCAGAGCAGACAAAGAGCCGAACUGAAAUCGCUACAAAGUCAAAGUUGUCUGCUUAUCUGCUCACGUUGCAUGCAGAUUAACACAACCAAUGAUGUAUAUAGUUGUGCGUGCACAGAAAGUAAGUGUAUUUGGUUUUGUUGAUGUAAAUGUCUCCUUAUUUUAGAUCGCGGGUGAAAUGCGCCAUAGCGCCAUAACGCAAUAGCGUCUAAUGGCCGAAUUUGAAGUUGUAACUUAUAAUAGUUGAUAAUUAAACUUGUUUUCAUAUGCAGUAUGCCUAAUGCAUGUAAUUUUAACACUUUACAUGUACAAAUGUAAUCGUUUUGUCGAGUUAUUUACUACAUAUACAUGUUGAUUAUUAUUUCAUUGGAAAAUGUGCCUCAGCCACGUUUAGUGAUCUAUUGGCGCCCUCUUGCGGACAGUUAGGGAACAACUGCUCUAAAUGUUUCCAUUCAUAUGAUGCGGUUACUGCAAUUUGUAUUCAUGUUUUAUAAUUAUAAGUAUUGUUAUUGAUGUUGUAAUUGUUAAUUAUAUAAUUGCUUAUGUGAGAUUAUUUUUGUAUUGUUUCAGAAAACCACAACUUAUCAUCAGUAAAUGUUCAACUGAGAAAUGGAGUCUGAGUGAAUUUCUUUGAAUAGAUGACAGUAAACAGUUCUGACCGACUGUCUGCAGGGAUUCAGAUACACCCGAAUCAGUGUUAAAUUAAAACACUCAGUUACAAAGUGGUCCUUCGAGCCGGAGGCUGAAUAACUGCAGAUAUGUCAUCCUGUUCACAGCAAGAGCCUCCAGCUGUUCGCCCCAGAAGACAUAUAAAGCCUCCUGCAUAUCUAGCAGACUUCCAAGUACGUAUGACUGGAUCUGAGAGGGGAUGCCAGCAACUUACAUAUUCAAGUGAUGAAGAAGUUAAUGCAGAAUAUGCUCCAUUGUCUACUGAACGUGAGUCUCAUGCCUUCACACCUAUAAGUCAGCGUUCACCAACCAGUGAUCUGGUGCUACAGGAUGAAUGGCAAAGUACACCGAGAGAAGAGGAUGAAAAGUAUCAUCAGUCGCAGCAGUCAGCCUGGGAGGAGAUGCAACGAGAGAAUGAUGAGCUUCGUAGCUGCAUCCGACAAAUGCCAGAGAUUUUAAGUGUAUUAAGGGGUCUUAAAGAGGAGAAUAUUGUAAUGAAACGAGAGAUCCAGCAGCUAGCCUCAAACGUAGCCAUUCAGCAUAAGCCAGUCGCUCGGUUACCAGCUCCUCGCCCUGACGUACCAGAAACAGUUCAUAGCCAGCCUCUGUCCCCCACACAAAGCAGCGAUUUCCCCCAGUACCCCUCUGGGCAGAUUAAGCAGAUAACAGAGCAGAUGAGAGAUUGCACUGUCUCACCUUUACCAGUAGAGCAGCCCCAAGCACUGCCAAGGUAUCGUACCCCUAAUCCAAGACUAGCUCCUCAUCUUCAGCCUCAUCCACAUAGUGAACCCAUCCACUACUAUGAGCCCAGAGAGAAUUAUCCCUCACACUCAGACCAACGACAAUCCUACCAUAUGCAGCGUUCAAGGAUUGUGCCUCCAUCUGCAGUGCCAUACUCUCAAGAGAGAACAUACCGAGGACCUAAGCCUUCUAUUCCGUUCUUAUCAACAUCGGAUCCACGAGAGUUUUCAAGGUUGCGCAUGGCUUUAGAGAAUCUCCUACCCAGUGAUGCAUCUGAACGUUUCCGAUAUCAAAUCCUCACAGAUCAUCUACAGUUAGAGGAGGCAUUGCUGGUAGCGGAUUCAUAUUGCAACUCAACACACCCUUAUACGGACACUAUGCAAGCUCUCAUCAACAUGUAUGGUCAGCCACACAAGCUGGUCCUGCAGAACAUCGCUGAGGUCAUGGAUGGCCCCAAUAUCAGAACUGGAGAUGUUGAAGCUUUCAAGCUGUUUGCGCUUCGAGUGCGUUCUCUGGUGAGCAUGCUAGAACAGCUGGGUCCUGAAGGUAAUGUUGAAUUGGACUGUGGGUCACAUGUUUCAAGACUGCAAAGCAAACUCCCUCAUGAGCUGAGAACUAGCUUCAAGAGAUAUAUACACCCUAUGAGAGUAGCUAUACCAACCCUCAUCGAUUUCUCUAACUGGCUAGAGUAUGAGCUACAAGUUCAGGAUGAUGGCGUCAAAACUUCAGGUUUCACACCAGGCCCCAGCAACAAGAAAAGGCUGGAGUAUCGUAAUCCUAAGGCUGCCAGGAAACCCACAACCAUCCUGCUAGGCACAGAGAAACCCAUGAGUGGGAGAACAAGUCAACCACAAGCCUCAGAGGUGACACCUAAAUCUGCCAGGUUUAAAGGGCGGUUAAGUGCAUAUUGCCCCUACUGUGACAAUACCAAUCACUUCUUGAAUGGGUGUGCUAAUUUCAAAGACCUUACCAAAGAGCAGAAAGAGUCCUGGAUUCGGAAAAACAAUCGAUGUUGGUGUUGCGGACGCAGCCAUCAUGCCUCGAAAUGCACCCUGAAAUCCCCCUGUAAGACUUGCAACAGGAGACACCUAUGCAUAUUGCAUGAUGUUAAUGAAAGGACUGUAGAUUCCACUGAAACAGCUACGAAAGAGAACUCCUGUCUAGUUAACACCACCAAGGAUGUCCUGUAUGUUGAUCGCCCAGUUUAUAGCCGUAAAGUACUUCUGAAGGUGAGCAAAGUCAUCAUUACCAAUGGAGACAAAUCCAUUGAGGCAUAUGCUGUUUUGGACGACGGGUCGGAGAGGACCAUCCUGCUCCAUACCGCAGCACAGGAAUUAAAUCUGAAAGGGCAGCCAGAGGACCUAAUACUGCGGACGGUGAGGCAGGACCAACAGGUUCUUCACGGGGCGGCAGUCUCAUUCACAGUGUCCCCUGUCAGUAACAAACACAAAAAAUUCUCCAUUCAAGGUGCCUUUACAGCAGAAAGACUUGGACUGGCAGAACAAUCUCACCCCGUUGCUUCCCUCCAAAAGAGGUACUGCCAUUUAGCAGGGCUACCCUUGCAGCAAAUAGACAGAGUCCAACCUGUACUGCUCAUUGGCUCAGAUUGUCCACACUUGGUGACCCCAAUUGAGCCUGUUCGUCUAGGCCCUCCAGGUGGACCUGCUGCUGUACGAACUCGACUAGGCUGGACACUACAAGGCCCAACACACGAGAUUAAGCAUGGCCGCAAUACUCACCAAUGCCUCUUCACCGCUAUACCUCAUAAUGCUGAACUGUUUGCCCAAGUAGAAAGGCUAUGGCAGAUGGACGUAAUCCCAUACCGCAAUGAGAAAGUAGUGACCCGGUCAAAACUUGAUCAUGAGGCUAUCCGGCUCCUACAAGAGAAAACUGUAAGAGUUAAUGUGGAUGGAAUUAUGCGAUAUGCAACACCACUGCUGCGUGUACAACAUAUGCCGACUCUGCACAUGCCUAAAGAAGCUGUACUGCCACAGCUCAGAAGCAUUGAACGUAAGCUGAUGAAAACACCUGAUCAGGCAUGUGCUUACAAAGCUGAAAUUGAGAGACUCAAGAAUGCUGGUUAUGUGGAGAAACUACAACCAGGUGAAGCUGAGAAAUCACAAGAAUCAUGGUACAUCCCUCACCAUAUGGUCACCCACAAUGGCAAGAAUCGUGUUGUGUACAAUUGCUCAUUUCAGUAUGAGGGACAAAAUUUGAAUAAGCUGCUACUACCAGGUCCCACUUUGAGCCCCACCUUGCUAGCAGUGUUACUACGUUUCCGAGAACACUCAACAGCUCUGAGUAGCGACAUACGAGGGAUGUUUCAUCAGGUGAGGCUGCUUCCGGGAGACAAAUCCUUGCUUCGGUUCUUGUGGAGAGACAUUGCUGUAGAUCAAGCCCCAGAAGUGUACGAGUGGCAGGUACUUCCCUUUGGGACUACAUGCAGUCCCUGCUGUGCCACAUUUGCUCUCCAAAAACACGUACAAGACCACAGUCAACCCGGAGAUCAGGUGAGGGAAGUGAUCGAAAAGUCAUUCUAUGUUGACAACUGUCUUUACAGUCUCCCCUCCAAAGAUGGAGCCAAAGAUCUUGUUGAUCAGCUCUGUUCCCUAUUGAAUGAAGGAGGCUUUGAACUGCGUCAGUGGGCCAGCAAUUGUCCAACAGUGGUCGCCCACCUUCCCUGUGAUAUAAGAUCGAAUAACUGUGAGCUCUGGCUUAGUCAGGGACUGCAAGAUACCCAAGAAUCUACCCUGGGACUGCUCUGGCGCUGUCAGUCAGACACUUUGCACUACAAGCACAGGGAAGUGAACUGUACUAAAGUAACCAUGCGCAGCAUUUAUUCUAUCCUGGCCAGCCAAUACGAUCCCCUUGGCUAUAUUAUCCCCUACACCACAAGAGCGAAAAUACUAGUGCAGCGUCUAUGGGAUAAAAAGCGUGAUUGGGACGAUCCACAACUGCCUGAAGAUCUGCUCAGUUUAUGGAAUUCAUGGGAGAAGGAGUUGUGUGAGCUAGACAAGAUAACACUGCCAAGAUGCUACUCCAGUCCAGACAUGGAUGUACCAACUAGCAGACGAGAUGUACAUGUAUUCUGUGACGCGUCGGAGAAGGCUUAUGGGUCUGUGGCCUAUUUGAGGACAGAAAGCACAGAAGGACAGGUUGAAGUUGCCUUUCUAGCAGCCAGGUCACGUGUUGCCCCCCGAAAGCAACAGUCUAUACCUCGCCUUGAACUGUGUGCAGCUCUAAGUGGUGCCCAGCUCUCCAAGGUCUUAGUCACAGAGCUCACAUUACCCAUCUGUUCCUUAACCCUCUGGUCAGACUCCACGACUGUACUUACCUGGUUAUUGUCAAGUUCUUGUCGUUACAAGGUGUUUGUGGGAACACGAAUAGCUGAAAUUCAAGAACUCACAGCUUCUGCAAGCUGGCAAUACAUACGAUCAGAGGACAAUCCUGCGGAUAGUAUCACAAGAGGAAAAAAGCUGUGUGACCUAGUCAAAUGUGACCAGUGGAAUCAAGGCCCCUCAUUUCUUAAGCUGCCUGUGGAGACUUGGCCAGAGCAGCCAUCCUUGCUUGCUGAAGAGCAGCAGCACGAACUAAGGCCAGCUGUGUUUUGUGGAGCAAUUACAGUCACACCCUUGCCAAAUCCACAGCAGUAUGAGACAAUGACUGAGUUCAUAAAAGCGUGUAAUCAGCAGCUAUACGGGGCGGCCAACAUUACAUGUGCUGAUGAACAAAGACAACUGGAACAACUUGUUCUUUGUCAAAUCCAAACUGAAUCCUUCCCUACUGAGAUGGCCCAACUAAAGUCCGGGAAACCAGUAUCAGGUACAAGCCGAUUGGCUUCUCUCUCUCCCGAACUUGACCCUACCACUGGUCUCAUUCGGGUAGGUGGCCGUUUAAGACAUCGCACAGAAGCAGAGCUGGACUGUACUCACCCCAUAGUCCUUGACUCCCACCAUCCUGUAACUAAACUCAUUAUUAAGGAUUAUGAUGAGAAGCUACAUCACCCUGGAUCAGAACGAGUGUUCGCAGAGAUGAGGAGAACAUAUUGGGUGCUACGAGGACGUGAAGCAGUUCGGAGACAUCAGCAUCAAUGUGCAGAGUGUCGUAGAUGGAAAGGGAAACCAGAAGUUCCCCUGAUGGCAGACUUGCCACUUGCAAGACAACAGCUCUAUAAACCUGCCUUCUUCUCAACAGGGAUGGAUUGCUUUGGACCUUACCUGAUUAAGAUCGGAAGGAGAAAUGAGAAGAGGUGGGGCAUAAUAUUCAAGUGCCUCACGACCAGGGCAGUGUAUAUAGAUCUGUUGGCCAGUAUAGAUUCUGAUUCAUUCCUAAUGGCCUUAAGACGUUUUAUCGCUCGACGAGGAAAGCCAUACGAGUUACUAAGUGAUCAAGGCACUAACUUCAAAGGUGGAGAACGAGAGUUGAAGGAAUCUCUUGGCGCCUUGCACAGUGAGCUCCAAAGUCAUCUUGCCUCCCAACAAAUUAAGUUUGUCUUCAAUCCACCGGGAGCACCCCACUUCGGGGGAUGCUGGGAGAGAGAAAUACGUUCAAUUAAAGCUGCUCUCCAAGUUACACUAGGGGCACAGACUGUGACGGAGGAAGUUUUAAGGACAGUCUUAACUGAGAUUGAAGGGAUACUUAACUCAAAACCGCUCAGCUACACAUCAUCAGACAUUUCUGAUGUAGAUCCAAUCACUCCCAACUGCUUCCUCAUUGGCCGCAGAGAUGCCUCACUGCCCCAGGUGGUGUAUCAGGACUCAGGAGUGAUAAGCCGACGCCGUUGGAGACACAGCCAGCUGUUAGCAGACCACUUCUGGAGGCAUUUUAUUAAGUACUACCUGCCCAAUCUCCAAGUUCGGCAGAAAUGGAAAGCAGAAAAGGAAAACCUGCAGGUUGGCGAAGUAGUGAUGAUUGUCGAUCCUCAGCUCCCUCGAGCUCUAUGGCCAGUGGGGAAAAUCGAGCAAGUACAUCCAGGAGCUGAUGACAGAGUAAGAUCAGCCACUGUACAAGUUGGAAGGAAAACAUAUACCCGACCAGUAGCACGUUUAGUUAAGCUGCCAACCCUUGUUAAAGAUUGAUCCACUUUAAGGAAAGAACCUUUUGUAAAUGUGCGAAUUCAAUUAUUGAAUUCGGGGGCGGCUGUUCAAAAGGCUUCUGGAACAUUCUCUUGCUGACUGAUACGCAAGUGCAUCGUCACUUUAAUGGGCGGGACUUAGAGAAGGAAGAGAAGCAGGUGUGCAGAGCAGACAAAGAGCCGAACUGAAAUCGCUACAAAGUCAAAGUUGUCUGCUUAUCUGCUCACGUUGCAUGCAGAUUAACACAACCAAUGAUGUAUAUAGUUGUGCGUGCACAGAAAAAAACCACAACUUAUCAUCAGUAAAUGUUCAACUGAGAAAUGGAGUCUGAGUGAAUUUCUUUGAAUAGAUGACAGUAAACAGUUCUGACCGACUGUCUGCAGGGAUUCAGAUACACCCGAAUCAGUGUUAAAUUAAAACACUCAGUUACAAUAUUUGAGGCCAGGAUGAUUUUAGAAAUCUUCAUGCAGUUGCUCUGGCUCAGUUUUUUUGCUUUUUCCUUCGGAAAGUGCGAUGGCCGCGUCUGAUUACUGACCUCAUG